UUAAAAUCGCACCAACUUACAAAACAGUAUCAAAUUUAUUCUUUUCUGGCUCAUUCUUGUUUUUAAUCAUGCGUAAACAAACUAUCUGAAAGCACAGAACUAAAAACAGCAUUAUCUUGUUGACCUAAAAUAUGAACCAACUUAAAUUCCAAUUUCUAUCAUUGUUGUUUUUUGGUUUAUUCACUACUUUUAUUGCACUGACUUUGAUCAACGAGCAAGCGGAAACGAGACGAGAAACUGCCGAGCUCUUGGAACUUUACCUACGUUCAGUAAAUAAACCUCAAAUUCGAAGCAGCAGCGGAGUUAAUUCAAAUAAACAGCAUGUAAACUUGUAUUCGGAUCACGACAGCAAAAUGCAGAGACAAGAUAUUGUCGUUAAAAAUCACGAGGGCAAACUGGUGUUACUUUUCUGGAAAGCAAUUUGCGAUGAACGUGCGGGAUCCUAUAAGAAAGUUGUAGUUUUAUCAUACACUAACAACGGAACAGAACCUGCAGAGUCUGUCCUGAAAGAAAUGCGCAACAAUACGACGAAAUUUAGGAAUGAAAAAGGGGAAUUGUUUGUAAAUUCAGCUACAACUCACGUGACUUUUCAUGCACUAAGGUCAACAGUCUUCAUUAUUUGUUCCUUCAUGCGAUAUACAGCGUGUCCUAAACGUAUUACAAUUGAUUUUGGAAACCAAACAAUCACCAGAGCGAUGCACGUCGAGCGCCAACUGCACCUGAAAAGUAGCCAAAGAUUUAGAGAAUCUCAAAUUAUUGUUUGCUUGCCAGCAGUUACCAGUUAUUUUUACGCUUUAAGACCAAGUUUUUUGGUCGAAUACUUCGAGUACCAGCGACUGGCUGGCGUGAAAAAGAUUUCAAUGGGCGAAUUGGACAAAAAGAUCUAUUCUUUUGGUUUCGAUCCAGUAUCGCAACAAAUAUUGAAACAUUACAAAGAUAUUGGCUUCUUAGAGAUGCAUUCAGUUUCUGUUUACUCCAACAACGCAUCAAAUAUGCAUCAAAUAGCGGAAAAUUCAAAACCAAUUCAAAAUACCUACUGCUAUCUAAAAUACGCAACGAUUUCUGAUUAUGUUAUUGUGCAAGAUUUAGAUGAAAUUGUUGCCUUUAAUAGCAAUUUGUACCGUAAUCUUCCGCGAGCUCUUUUAGCAGCCAAAGAUAAAAAGCAUCGUUAUUUCAGCUUUAAACUGUACGAUCAGUCUAUUGCUCGAAAGUGUAACAACUUCACUAAAGAUUUCAGAAACACAACCGACUUUCUAAUUUCGCGAGCAAAUCUGUACUAUCGUCGAAACUUGAAUCCGGGAAAAACUAUCCAUUCCAGUCAUGUAUGUCAGUUACCCGGAAGUUAUAGCUGCUUCAUCUACCGAAAAGUUCCAGAAUUAUUUUCCGAUGAGAGUAUGAGAAAAGAAGAAUUCCAUAAACUUGUUAGCUGGAUGAAAAACAAAGAGGGCGUAAGCUUCUUGAGGAGCCUUCAUUUUAGAACUUCUGUUGCUAAUAAGUUCUAUAACGAAAAGGAUGAGCAGGUUAAUAAAGAUAUGUGUUCAAAGAACAACACUAUUGAGUUCGAUUGGCUCGCCAAACUAACUCCAAAACUAGUGAAAAACACUAUGGAUACUUUGAAAAAAAUUUACGCCAGACAGCAAGACGACUGAGAGAGAGAGAGAGAGAGAGAAAGAGCAAAACAGUUCUUUGUUGCAUCAAAAAAGGUAGUUACAGAACCGUGUAAUGGAACAAGUGUACAGUUUUAAUAAAUACAAGAAUACAAGAAAAAAAAACGUUUUGUCAGUCACUGAGCACACUAAGCAUUGGGGGAAGGGGAAGUUGGGCGUCGGAAAAAAAACUUUGAUAGAUUUUUCAUCCAUUUCCGGACUGCUGAUAUUUUAUAUUUGCUAUGGUGAGUUAUAUUUUAAGUUUUGUAGGAGUUUGUAAACAUA